AACUUUAAAGAUGGACGCCCCUCCAGAGAGGAGAGGCCACACCAGAAGAGUUCAAAUGUUACCAGGUCUGUACAGAAUAAUCAAACAGAGCUGAUCAAGAGGGCUGAGGAGAACGCACACGCUUUUCUAGACAAGGAGAUGAAGAAGCUCUGGAGGGAUCUCUUCUCAGAUUACCCACAAUGCUCAGAAAGUCAGAGGGAGGAGGAGGAGUUGGGUGGUAAGAAUGAGGAGCAGAAGAGGCGUGCCAUAGAGGGAGUGGUGGACAUCACAAAGCUCUGCCUGAUGGAGAUGAACCAGGAGGAACUGGCCGAGAAACUGUGGGGCGGUAAGAGACUCUAUUUUUUAAUUGCAGAAGAGACUCUUAUCCUGAAGACAGAAUGAAUAAUUAUUUCAAAGAGCAGUAUGAGACUCUUAUUUGUUCUGUUCAGACUAAAUGACAUGCUGUAAUAUUUUUCACAUUCCUAUGAAGGGUUAUUGUGGGGCAUCAGGUUAAAUGGAUUGAUCCAGAUAUAUUGGGUUAAUGUGGGUGUAUAAGGUU